rnacentral:rRNA from 1 species
GCUAAGAAUAUUCCGCAAUGGACGAAAGUCUGACGGAGCGACGCCGCGUGGAUGAAGAAGGCCGAAAGGUUGUAAAGUCCUUUUGUUGGGGAAGAAUAAGCGCGGGAGGGAAUGCCCGCGUGAUGACAUGAACCGACGAAUAAGCCCCGGCUAACUACGUGCCAGCAGCCGCGGUAACACGUAGGGGGCGAGCGUUGUUCGGAAUUACUGGGCGUAAAGGGCAUGUAGGCGGCCUUGUAAGCCUGGCGUGAAAGUCACCGGCUUAACCGGUGGAUUGCGUCGGGAACUGCAGGGCUUGAGUCACGGAGAGGGAGCUAGAAUUCCUGGUGUAGGGGUGAAAUCUGUAGAGAUCAGGAAGAAUACCAAUGGCGAAGGCAAGCUCCUGGCCGAUGACUGACGCUGAGGUGCGAAAGUGUGGGGAUCAAACAGGAUUAGAUACCCCAGUAGUCC